rnacentral:rRNA from 1 species
GACGAACGCUGGCGGCGUGCUUAACACAUGCAAGUCGAACGGAAAGGCCCUGCUUUUGUGGGGUGCCCGAGUGGCGAACGGGUGAGUAACACGUGAGUAACCUGCCCUUGACUUUGGGAUAACUUCAGGAAACUGGGGCUAAUACCGGAUAGGAGCUCCUGCUGCAUGGUGUGGGUUGGAAAGUUUCGGCGGUUGGGGAUGGACUCGCGGCUUAUCAGCUUGUUGGUGGGGUAGUGGCUUACCAAGGCUUUGACGGGUAGCCGGCCUGAGAGGGUGACCGGCCACAUGGGGACUGAGAUACGGCCCAGACUCCUACGGGAGGCAGCAGUGGGGAAUAUUGCACAAUGGGCGGAAGCCUGAUGCAGAAACGCCGCGUGCGGGAUGACGGCCUUCGGGUUGUAAACCGCUUUCGCCUGUGACGAAGCGUGAGUGACGGUAAUGGGUAAAGAAGCACCGGCUAACUACGUG